CCAAGCAUAGUUAUUGUUUUCUAUAUCAAGAACUUUAAAAUCAUAAAAUCAUAGCAUUUACAAGUUAAAUUAUUUGUUUUAUGACCCAGGGGGUAGGCAAUUUUCUAUGUUUCUUGCCCCUGGGGCCUCAAAUUUCCUAAAUAAUUCUGCUGUUUCUAGCAAUUUGGAAUAUUUAGUACAUAUUCAGGAUAGAACACACUAUUGUAAGUUUUCUUGAGAUAUUUUUGUUUUUCUAGCUUGUAUUUAUUAUGCCGUGGUGACAAAAAAGCAGAUUUAGGUGUUGCGGCUUACUUUUGGGUUAUCGAAAGGACACAAAUACCCCAUAAAUAAUAUUCAGGAAAGAUCUAUGAGUUUCAAUGACUGCGAAGAGUAAAUAUAAGCACUUCUUAACAAUUUAACUUACAAAUAUGCAAAUAUUAUGAUUUAAUUUUGUAUCCAGGACUUUAAGUAAACUAUGCAUACUGUAAACUGUGAAUUUAUGCUGAGUCAUCAUAUUUAAGGCCCAGGAUUCUAUCAAUCUUCAUUAAAUAUUUAUAAAACUUCUUAUUUGAGUUAAUUUCUUUAAAAUCUGUGAAAUAAAGCAAAUUUGGUUAAAUUCUGAAUGUUCCCCUUUUUCACCCUAUAUAGGUUGCAUUUCUGUAAAUAUUGACAAUGC
rnacentral:lncRNA from 1 species